rnacentral:rRNA from 1 species
AACGAACGCUGGCGGCAUGCCUAACACAUGCAAGUCGAACGAGACCUUCGGGUCUAGUGGCGCACGGGUGCGUAACGCGUGGGAAUCUGCCCUUGGGUUCGGAAUAACAGUUAGAAAUGACUGCUAAUACCGGAUAAUGUCUUCGGACCAAAGAUUUAUCGCCCAGGGAUGAGCCCGCGUAGGAUUAGCUAGUUGGUGAGGUAAAGGCUCACCAAGGCGACGAUCCUUAGCUGGUCUGAGAGGAUGAUCAGCCACACUGGGACUGAGACACGGCCCAGACUCCUACGGGAGGCAGCAGUGGGGAAUCUUGCGCAAUGGGCGAAAGCCUGACGCAGCCAUGCCGCGUGAAUGAUGAAGGUCUUAGGAUUGUAAAAAUUCUUUCACCGGGGACGAUAAUGACGGUACCCGGAGAAGAAGCCCCGGCUAACUUCGUGCCAGCAGCCGCGGUAAU